AUGUCAUAUGCUUGGAGGAGUAUUUCUCAUGGCAUUGAUCUUAUCAAAAAAGGAGUAAUUUGGAGGGUUGGAGAUGGUCAAAACAUCCAAAUUUGGGAUGACCCAUGGAUCCCUAGGGCUUGGUCCAGGAAAGUGGUCACACCACGAGGGAGCAGCUUAUUAACCAGGGUGUCCGAGCUCAUCAACCCGAGUACUGGGGGGUGGGACGAGGUACUCAUCAGGGACACAUUUUGGGAGGAGGAUGCCGCCUUGAUCCUCCAGAUACCUUUAAGGGAUGACACCGAAGAUUUCCGAGCGUGGCAUUUUGAUAGUAAGGGUGUCUUCUCGGUUAAACAAGCCUACAAAGUACAACGGGUGUUUUCAGAGCAUUCCGCCGCGGGGCAAGCUGGUGAGCCACAAGCUGUGGGCGAUCUUGAUGGUGGCGGGGACGUGAGAUGGAAAAGAAUUUGGAAGCUUCCGUGCCCGGGAAAAAUUAGGCAUUUUGCAUGGAGGAUGAUGCAUAACACGAUCGCCACAAAGGACAUACUAGCCAGAAGAGGAAUGACCAUCGAUGACCACCGGUGCUUCAUGUGUAAUGUGCGGCAAGAGUCUGGAAAAGAUCUAUUUGUGGAUUGCACUGAGGUGAAAGAGGUGUGGAGGAGCCUAGGGCUUGAAUAUAUCAGAGUGCAACUGUCAGAGUGCGAAGCGAUAGGCGAGACCAUGGACGUCCUCUGGCAGGCCACGGAGAAGGAGAGGCUGCAGGUCAUGGUGAUGUGGUGGCAGUGGUGGAAUCAACGGAAUAAGGUGCGUGAAGGGGAGAAGCCCAUGGAUCGCGAUCAGUUCGUUUGUAGGGCUGCAUGCACGGCGGAGGAAUACCUGGGGUGUUUCUGCAAAUCAACAAAGCCUGAGAGGGGCCCCCAGGGCUGGUCCCCACCGCCUCCGGAUGAACUGAAGUUUAAUGUGGAUGGCGCAUAUAUUCCGGGCAGCCAGCAUGGCGCAUGGGGCAUCAUCGUCCGAGAUUCUAUGGGGCAUAUGGUGGCGGCGCGGGCAGGACGGGUCGAUCACGUGGCCUCGGCUUUCGACACGGAGCUGCAUGCAGGAGAGCGAGCGCUGGAGGUAGCGGCGGAGCUAGGAGUGCUGCGGCUCACGGUGGAGACGGAUGCGCUCCUGGUGCAGCAAGCUUUGAGUCGCCGAACGCCAGACUUCUCUAGGCAAGCCCAUGUGAUUGAGGAUCUUAAAGUGCAAGCGCGCUUAUGGUUUGCUUCUUGUGUGUUUGCUCAUUGUAAUAGGGAGGCCAAUACAGCGGCCCAUAGUCUAGCAAAGCUUGGUUUGGCACUCGCCGUGGGUGAGACCAUUGUACUGGAUGAUGCACUUCCAGCUGAUAUAGCUGCUUCUGUGUUGGGCGACUAUGCCCAAGAUGUUGAGUAA
rnacentral:rRNA from 1 species